rnacentral:rRNA from 1 species
CCUACGGGAGGCAGCAGUAGGGAAUCUUCCACAAUGGGCGAAAGCCUGAUGGAGCAACGCCGCGUGGGUGAAGAAGGUCUUCGGAUCGUAAAACCCUGUUGUUAGAGAAGAAAGUGCGUGAGAGUAACUGUUCACGUUUCGACGGUAUCUAACCAGUAAGCCACGGCUAACUACGUGCCAGCAGCCGCGGUAAUACGUAGGUGGCAACCGUUAUCCGGAUUUAUUGGGCGUAAGGGUGACGCAGGCGGUCGUUUAAGCCGGAGGGGAAAGCCUUCGGCUUAACCGGAGUAGUGCAUUGGAUACUGGGUGACUUGAGUGCAGAUGAGGAGAGAGGAACGUGAUGUGUAGCGGUGAAAUGCGUAGAUAU